rnacentral:rRNA from 1 species
UACAGAGGUCUCAAGCGUUGUUCGGAUUCAUUGGGCGUAAAGGGUGCGUAGGCGGCGCGGUAAGUCGGGUGUGAAAUCUCGGAGCUUAACUCCGAAACUGCAUUCGAUACUGCCGUGCUUGAGGCCGGGAGAGGUGAGUGGAAUUCCCAGUGUAGCGGUGAAGUGCGUAGAUAUUGGGAGGAACACCAGUGGCGAAGGCGGCUCACUGGACCGGUUCUGACGCUGAGGCGCGAAAGCGUGGGGAGCAAACGGG